GAGUUUGAUCCUGGCUCAGAAUGAACGCUGGCGGCAUGCCUAACACAUGCAAGUCGAACGAGACCUUCGGGUCUAGUGGCGCACGGGUGCGUAACGCGUGGGAAUCUGCCCUUGGGUUCGGAAUAACAGCGAGAAAUUGCUGCUAAUACCGGAUGAUGUCUUCGGACCAAAGAUUUAUCGCCCAGGGAUGAGCCCGCGUAGGAUUAGCUAGUUGGUGUGGUAAAGGCGCACCAAGGCGACGAUCCUUAGCUGGUCUGAGAGGAUGAUCAGCCACACUGGGACUGAGACACGGCCCAGACUCCUACGGGAGGCAGCAGUGGGGAAUAUUGGACAAUGGGCGCAAGCCUGAUCCAGCAAUGCCGCGUGAGUGAUGAAGGCCUUAGGGUUGUAAAGCUCUUUUACCCGGGAUGAUAAUGACAGUACCGGGAGAAUAAGCUCCGGCUAACUCCGUGCCAGCAGCCGCGGUAAU
rnacentral:rRNA from 1 species